ACCACGCCCCCCUCUGCCUUGAACCACGCCCCCUCUCAAACCCCACCCCUUUCCAAAAAAACCACGCCUCCUUUCUGUAACCCCGCCCCCUUCCCCCCUUUGGCCCCUCCCCCUUUUCUGUGCGUUUUACAGAUAAAAGAGCUGAGUCGAUGCGGUGGGUGUGGUCUGUGGGGGCGGGGCUUAAGGGCGGGGGCGGGGCUUAAGGGCGGGGGGCGGGGCUUAAGGGUGGGGGAGGGGAGCGGGGCCCCGCGUGGGAUCUGUGGGGAAAUUCAGCCCCACAAGUGCCCCUAUUGCCCCACAUCUGCCCCUAUUGCCCCACAUCUGCCCCAUAUUGCCCCACAAGUGCCCCUAUUGCCCCACAUCUGCCCCUAUUGCCCCACAUCUGCCCCACAUCCGCCCCACAAGUGCCCCUAUUGCCCCACAUCCACACCACAUCUGCCCCUACUGCCCCACAUUGCCCCACAACUGCCCCACGUCCACCUCACAACUGCCCCUAUUUCCCCACAUCUGCCCCAUAACUGCCCCUAUUGCCCCACAACUGCUCCUAUUGCCCCACAAGUGCCCCUAUUGCCCCACAUCCACCCCACAACUGCCCCUAUUGCCCCACAUCCACCCCACAUCUGCCCCUAUUGCCCCACAUCCACCCCACAACUGCUCCUAUUGCCCCACAUCCACCUCCCAACUNNNNNNNNNNCCCCUAUUGCCCCACAUCCACCCCCAUCUGCCCCACAUCCACUUGCAUCACCUCCAGGAACCCCCGGAUCACAGCGCAGGAGGAGCAGCCCUGGUACCCCCCCCUUAAAGACCCCCCCAGUGCCCCACAUCGCCCCAUAGGACCCCCAGGUCCCCUCUGUGGGACCCACAUCUCCCAUUGGGACCCCCAAAUCCCAUUGGGACCCCCUUAUGGGACCCAC
rnacentral:lncRNA from 1 species